GCUAUACAUGCAGUCGAGCGAAUGACGAAGAAGCUUGCUUCUUCUGAUUUAGCGGCGGACGGGUGAGUAACACGUGGGCAACCUGCCCUGUAGAUUGGGAUAACUCCGGGAAACCGGGGCUAAUACCGAAUAAUCCAUUUCCUCACAUGGGGAGAUGUUAAAAGACGGCAUCUCGCUGUCACUACAGGAUGGGCCCGCGGCGCAUUAGCUAGUUGGUGAGGUAACGGCUCACCAAGGCGACGAUGCGUAGCCGACCUGAGAGGGUGAUCGGCCACACUGGGACUGAGACACGGCCCAGACUCCUACGGGAGGCAGCAGUAGGGAAUCUUCCACAAUGGACGAAAGUCUGAUGGAGCAAUGCCGCGUGAGUGAAGAAGGUUUUCGGAUCGUAAAACUCUGUUGUGAGGGAAGAACAAGUACGAGAGUAACUGCUCGUACCUUGACGGUACCUCAUUAGAAAGCCACGGCUAACUACGUGCCAGCAGCCGCGGUAAUACGUAGGUGGCAAGCGUUGUCCGGAAUUAUUGGGCGUAAAGCGCGCGCAGGCGGUC
rnacentral:rRNA from 1 species